UUUCUCAUUCAGUACUUUUGUCAGAAGAUGGUAACAACACUGUUACCGAAACGUCACACACUGUUUAUUUAUUUGGAUUUGGUCUUAAUACCUUGUGUUUAUAAUAUAUAAUCCAAAUUAUAAUAUAUAAUCCAAAUUGUGCCGUAUAAUUAUAUCUUUAGAUGUUGAAUCCAUGUUUACUUCAAUCCCUAUACCCACAAUUUUUAUUUUUUUUCCUUAUCCCUAGUACACGUGGUACAGGCCAUGAUAAUCAUGGUUGGUAGAAGUUGGCGACUGCUUUUACUGUAAGUGCACCACAUAUCUACACAUGUGAAAAGCAGUUCGACUUUGCACUUACAAAUAUGCCAGAGCCACGUUUGGUUACUUGCACUCGCUGGUGGGGUUGGACUUUUCCAAGAACCCACAAUUAUGGAUGCAUUAAACCAUGUGAUAAAAGAAUCAAAUAUAUAUAUACACUGUUAUAGGGUACCAACACACUGUAUUGAAGAAUGUACAGUAGCCACAAAAGGGUUUUGAUAUUUAACCAACCUUCAUUCACAUGUUCAAUUCUUGUAAAAGUCCAACCUCACCAGUGAGUGCAAGUAACCAAAAUGGUACACUUGUAAGUCUUCUUUCUUAUAUCAAAGAUUUGACAACCAUCAUGAUUGGGUGAAGUAGAAUGUGUCUGUCUUUGUCAAGACUGGAACCACUACUAAGUAGCAGGCCACUGACUUAUCUUCAAAAGAAAUGGCCGCCUCUGACAUGAGGAACAGGCGCCAUGUUCAGCCGCUCCUAACAUGGAGUACAUCCUGUAUCUCUGGAGUCCUUACAGGGUACUAUCAGCCAGGCCAGCUGAGCCCAGGUUUUUUAGCGAGCUUGUUACUGCUCCCCCUCUUCCUUUUUCAUCCAGGCUUGGGACCAGAAAAGGUGGAGUUACACUUGUAAGUAUAAAAGUCAAACUGCUUUUCACAUGUAUAGACAUGUGGUGCACUUACAGUAAAAGUAGUCACUUACUACCCCCCACAAUGAUUAUCAAGGUCUGUACCACAUGUACAGGGAUAAAAGACAUCAAUGAUACAUAGAAGGGAAUAGCAUACGCACUAAAAUACAGUAGAAACUCCAUGACAGGUGACUUUUUGUUAGAGAACAAACUCUCUACAAUGGACAGUUGUAAUCUCCAAUUUUUUUUUUUUUUUACUAUUCAGCAACUCUCCAGUAAAAUAACACCUCUCCUUAUAAAGGACACUUUCUGCAACUUGGUGUUGUCCUUUACAGAGCUGUUCUAUUCAACUAAUUUUUAUUUUAAUAAGACACAAUUUGGAUUAUAAACACAAGGUAAUAAGACCAAAUCCAAAUAAAUAAAUAGUGUGUGAUGUUUCGGUAACAGUGUUGUUACCAUCUUCAGACAAAAGUACUGAAUGAGAAAUUUUACCACAGCAUGAUUUAAAUAGUUACUGUUAUCAAGUGUGUAAACUUCUUAUCUGCUAUCUUGUUUACACACUUGAUAACAGUAACUAUUUAACCCUUUAAGCUCUAGGGCCCGAAUGCUAACUAUCACUAUCAGGACCACACUAAUUAAGCCUAAACUGAUGAUCAAGUAGUUGUUAAGUUAAAAAUGUUAUAAAUAAAUAAAUAUGAUGGAUAGAAGUGUUCUGUAAAGUGCAAUAUAAUCCAGACUCCUCUCCCAACACACCACUCUGAUUUUAUUAUACUGAAGUGAGUAUUUAAUUUUUUAAUUGGGGGUUAAUUAUAAUUAAUUGAAUAAUCGACUUGAAUUUUUCAAAAUUAGGUUUCACAAAUAUAAAAAUGAAUUUUAGAUAUAUACAAGGCUAUUUACAAAGCUAACACUUGUGUUUAAAAGCACAGACUGGAUGCAAGCCUCUCUUGCACUUUGAACAUAUGGUUCUAGACCUCCGCUUCAGGCCUUCUUUUGUACACUCCACACAUCUACUCUCUCUCUUUUUGGAAGUUUUUCGAGUACUUCCUGGCUUGUUGAAGGCAAAACUGGAGGUUUCAAGUGAUUUUUAACUAAUUCAUUUAUUACUGAAUAGUUAAAAGCCCUUCUAGAAAGCUUGGGGUUGUCUUUGGUAUGCUGUUCAUAUAGGAUGAAGGAGUUUAGGAGAGCCCUGUGGAAGAUGUUGAGAAUCACCUUUCUAUAAAAUUUUCUUCCUUUUCUUUCAUCCAUAUACAGUAUAACCUCGUUAAUUCGACACACCCCAAUUCGACACUCGGCGAUAAUUCGACCAUGUUCCGAUGUCCCGACCUCCGGCCUAUCAAAUAACAAACCGUAAUUCGACAGUAUCGAUAAUACGACAGUUCCGAUAGUUCGACCAUUUUAAAAUUCGAAUUUCGACAGUUGAAUGUUAUUUUACAUGCAACUUUACCGCUAAACGGUAUUACGGCGGCGACGAUCGGCAUCGGCGGGCGGCGACGAUCGGCAACAGCGGGCGUCGAUACGAUCGCGCCUGCGCACUUUUGGUUUCUGGUUAGUUUAAGUUUCACUUUGCAGUGCCGUUGCGCAAUUUCGCGGAUGUUAUUGUUGUUUUUUUUACGCAGGAAUUUCGGCAUCAUGCCGCUAACUAAUAAUAAUUUUUAUUUUUUUAUUUUUAACAUUGAAAUAUUUUAGCUAUUUUUAAAUUUAUAAACAAUUUCUUUUUAAAUAAAUAAAUCUUUGUAAAAUGAUCCAACAAUGAUUAUGAUAACAUUUUAUUUCAAUAUUCCAUUUCUGUGUUAUUAUAAAAGAUUUAAACACAAAAUCAAUAACACCUGCAGCAGCAGUGGAUGCCUUUAAUACAUUAAAAUUUAUUUAUUAAAAGACAUUUCAGAGGAAGAAAGGCAUGCAUGUUUUUUCAAAAUGCCAUCUGGAAUACAUCCUGAAUAGGAUUUCAGUGCAAAAACAGAUAUCUAUAAAGGAAUUUUUUAAAAGAUCUUCAUGAUUAUUUUAAAAUAAUAUUUUAAAAUUUUCUUUUUAUUUACCAUAUUUAUUUCCUUUCAACUGCUAUAUUUUUCAAUUAGAAUAAAAUAUUAUUUAAUAUAUUAUAUUUAAUAUUUUAAUGUCUGUAGAGUUAAUAUUUGAUUAUAUUACUGAAAAGAAACACAUUGCCAAUAAAUUUAUUUGUUACAAUUAUUUAUGUUUCUAAAAUAUAUAUUAAUGCCAUUUUGUCACUGAUACUAAAAGUUAAUCAUGAAAAUAAUAUAAAAACACACAAUGGUUUCAAUUAAUAUCAUUAAUUUAUAUUACAAAGCUAUUAAAAAAUAUAUAUUUUAGCGAGUUAGAUGAUUACCUAAUCAUAUAACCAUAUAACCUUAAUUCAACACUUCCUUUAAUUCAACCGAAAGCUCUGAUCCCUUGGGGUGUUGAAUUAAAGAGGUUCGACUGUAUGUAUACAACAUUUGAUCAUUGAGAUCUACCCCUCCCAUGUAGCUAUCAUAGCAGAUUUUCAUCUGUGGGUAGUCUCUUUGGUCUGACACCUUCUUUUUUCCAGAAGAAGCAUCACAAAAUGUUGAGAGAAACUUCACUGGAGGUUUGCUCUUCUUUUCUUUGUAAGCCAGGGCCAGUAGAUUAUUAUUUACCAUAUAAAGGGAUUCACCCACACCUAAUUUUGCACUUGUUAAGGUUUUAGGAAGUCCCUUCCUAUUAGUUCUUAUAGUACCAGUCAAAUAAGUAUGACUGUCCAGUAAGUCCUUGGCUAGGUUGAUGCUGGUGAAAAAGUUAUCAGUUAUCAAAUGAUAACCUUUUCCAAGUAGACUGGAUUCCUGGAGCAGAUUCAUUGGAACAUCACAGGAAAGGGACUUGAUAAUUGGAGAUAAUUUCCCUUUAUAUGGCUUCAUUCUCAGACAAUAGCCAGUUUUAGAUUCACAAAGCAUCCACAGUUUGACUCCAAAUCGACCAUGGUGCUUUUGGGGCAUAUAUUGUCUAAGACGAGUUCGGUUUUUAGGCACACCAAGCUCUCAUCAACUGUAAGAUUUUGAGUAGGCUUAUAAUAAUAUAUAAACUUGUUGUUCACAUGCUCUAUGAGCUUCUCAAAUCUUGCAGUUGGGUUGUAAUCAGGAUGAGAACUUGGAACCAGGUUGAAGUCAUCAAUCAGAGAAAAGCAGCUGUAGAGCAACUUAAAUCUCCCUCUAGACAUAACUUUACCAAACCAGGGCGUCUCUAAAAGUUCAUUCUUGCUCCAAUAGUCCCUGAUUUGGUUCUUCUUCACAUUGCCCAUAUUGAAGAUGACUCCAAAAAAGGCCAUCAUCUCAUCCAAGGUAGUGUCCUUCCAGGCCAGCUUCCUAGAAAAUGGAGGUAAUUUGUCCCUAUUGCUUGCCAAUAAAGUUUGGGCACAUUUAUUGGUAAAAGCCACAAUUUCCUUCAUCAAAUUCAUUGUUAUGAAUAACAAAAAGUAUUUAAUAGGCCGGAUAAUAGAGGGGGGAAGGUGCUGUGGGCCACAAACUUCUCCAAAAGUCAAUGUUUUGGAUGUGGAAAAUGGAGUAUAAACUCUUACCCAAGGACUUGGCUGGUUUUCAUCCACUUCUUCAUCAGAAAAUUCAUCUUCAAAAGUGUCUUCAACACUUUCUUCAAACUCAGAAGACAAAGAAUAAACUUCAGUGUCCUCAGAAAAUGCAGAGCAUUCUGAACCGGAAGCCAUUUUUAAAAAAAUUAAAAAUAAAAAAAGGAAAUCGCAAGACAAAGGAGAUAAAAACACAGCUAACGUGUAGAGACAAGCCCAGAAGUGAGAAGGGAGGUGAUAAAAAUAGCCAGCCACCACCCCCUCCCCCACGAGGGGCCCUACAAGGAAGUAACGAUAGAUCGGUACCCCGGCGCUCCUGGUGACGUUAUAGGGUAACGAUGGAUCGUUACCUCGGCGCUUAAAGGGUUAAAACAUGCUGUGGUAAAAUUUCUCAUUCAGUACUUUUGUCUGAAGAUGGUAACAACGCUGUUACCAAAACUUCACACACUGUUUAUUUAUUUGGAUUUGGUCUUAUUACCUUGAAUUUUGUUUUUAAUUUUCAGCCUAAAAAUAUACAGUAGAACUGCCUCCCUGUAAAGGACAACACUUAAUUGCAGAGCCAAAGUGUCCUUUAGGGAGAGGUGUCCUCUUACCGAAGAAUUGUUAAAUAGUAAAAAUGGUAAUUUUGACAAUGAGAACUGUCCUUUGUAGAGAGGUGUCCUCUAACCGGAAUGUCUUCUCAUGGAAUAUAUUCUACUGUACUUUUUUUCUUAAUUUAUCCACCAGAUCAAAGUAAAAUUUCACUUUUGUGCUAUUUUUUUUACACUUUAUUGUUUAUGAUAAGGCACAAUUUGGAUUAUAGAUUAUAAACACAAGGUAAUAAGACCAAAUCCAAAUAAAUAAAUAGUGUGUGAUGUUUCGGUAACAGCGUCGUUACCAUAUUCAGAUAAAAGUGCUGAAUGAGAAAAAAAUAUCACAGCAUGUUUUAAAUAGUUACUGUUAUCAAGUGUGUAAACAAGAUAGCAGAUAAGAAGAAGAUAAUUUUCUGAGAAAUCUAAAAUUCAGUACUUUUGUCUGAAGAUGGUAACAAUGCUGUUACCGAAACAUUACACACUGUUUAUUUAUUUGGAUUUGGUUUCAUUACCUUGUGUUUAUAAUCUAUAAUCAAAAUUGUACCUUAUCAAUACAAUGCAAUCAUAAUUAAAAGAUACAAAAGAUACAACUGUGUGUAAAUUUUGGUUACAGUGAGUUAAGUAGUUCGAAAAAUUAAUUAGAUAUUUUGUAUGUUUAUAAACCUCUUAAAUAUAACUGACAUUUUUAUUCUUUUACACUGAACUUUUUUUUCAUUUUGGAAUAACAAACAAUAAUUUUAAAAAAAGGGUAAAAUAAUCUAUUUAAAAUAUUUUUAUCGUGUACUUCAGCUUUAGUAUUAAUUAAAAAUAUGUGUCAUCUUUUUUUUAUUAAUGUUACAUAAUGUUUGAUACACAUUUCGUUUGGUUGUAAGCGGCGGCGAAAAAAGGCGCACUUUAAAAGGAAGUAAUAUGCAGAAGACAUUUUACACCGUGAAUAAUUCGAAUAAUAGCCUAACUAAGCGACAAAUAAAUUAAAUUAAUUAUUAGUUAUAUAAACGGAACUGAACAUAUUAAACAUAUAAAUAUAACUUACCCAAUAAUAUAACCUAUAAUAGCUAAUUGAAAAAGCCUAUUAAGAAUACCAAAAGUAAGAUUGUUUCGGUUUGUGAUAGUUAUGUAUUUCGGUGAAUCAUAUUCGAAAAACCACAUUUCAGAGAGCUAUCAAUAGGGCGGCUUUAACCCUUUAAAUCUAUAUUGCAAAAGAAAUCAAAAUUACGA
rnacentral:piRNA from 1 species